AACGCACAUUGCGCCCCUUGGUAUUCCGGGGGCAUGCCUGUUCAAGCGUCAUUUCAACCCUCAGAGCUUGGUCUUGGGCCGCGCCGGUCGGGCCUCCAAAACAGUGGCGGCGCCAUCGUGUCCCUCAGCGUAGUAAUUUUUCUCGCUGUUGGGUCCUCGUGGCCGCUGGCCAGCAACCGCCAAUAUUUCUAUGGUUGACCUCAUAUCAGGUAGGGAUACCCGCUGAGCUUAA
rnacentral:misc_RNA from 1 species